UACGUAGGGUGCGAGCGUUAAUCGGAAUUACUGGGCGUAAAGCGUGCGCAGGCGGUGAGCUGUGUCCGAUGUGAAAGCCCCGGGCUUAACCUGGGAACUGCGUUUGAAACUGGGAGACUUGAGUGUGGCAGAGGGGGGUGGAAUUCCACGUGUAGCAGUGAAAUGCGUAGAUAUGUGGAGGAACACCGAUGGCGAAGGCAGCCCCCUGGGUUAACACUGACGCUCAUGCACGAAAGCGUGGGGAGCAAACAGG
rnacentral:rRNA from 1 species